rnacentral:rRNA from 1 species
CCUACGGGGGGCAGCAGUGGGGAAUAUUGGACAAUGGGGGGAACCCUGAUCCAGCCAUGCCGCGUGUGUGAAGAAGGCCCUCGGGUUGUAAAGCACUUUCAGUGAGGAAGAACGCCUGGUGGUUAAUACCCAUCAGGAAAGACAUCACUCACAGAAGAAGCACCGGCUAACUCCGUGCCAGCAGCCGCGGUAAUACGGAGGGUGCGAGCGUUAAUCGGAAUUACUGGGCGUAAAGCGCGCGUAGGUGGCUUGAUAAGCCGGUUGUGAAAGCCCCGGGCUCAACCUGGGAACGGCAUCCGGAACUGUCAAGCUAGAGUGCAGGAGAGGAAGGUAGAAUUCCCGGUGUAGCGGUGAAAUGCGUAGAGAUCGGGAGGAAUACCAGUGGCGAAGGCGGCCUUCUGGACUGACACUGACACUGAGGUGCGAAAGCGUGGGUAGCAAACAGGAUUAGAUACCCCAUGUAGUC